rnacentral:tRNA from 2 species
GCGGGCGUAGCUCAAUGGAAGAGCGUGAGCUUUCCGGGCUCAAGACGGGGGUUCGAUUCCCACCCGCCCGCUCCA